AUGAAGGUGAAGAGCCGGAACCCAGACAACUAUGUCUGAGAAACCAAACUGGACUUACAAAGAGUUCCAAGAAACUAUGAUCCUACCUUACAUCCUUUUGAGGUCCCACGAGAAUAUGUAAGGGCUUUAAAUGCUACCAAACUGGAACGGGUAUUUGCAAAACCAUUUCUUGCUUCUCUGGAUGGUCACCGAGAUGGAGUCAAUUGCUUGGCAAAGCAUCCAAAGAGCCUGGCUACUGUCCUUUCUGGGGCAUGUGAUGGAGAGGUUAGAAUUUGGAACUUGACUAAACGGAAAUGUAUCCGUACAAUACAAGCCCAUGAAGGUUUUGUAGGAAGAAUAUGUACUCGCUUUUGUGGGACUUCUUUUUUUACUUUUGGCGAUGACAAAACUGUGAAGCAAUGGAAAAUGGAUGGACCGGGCUACGGAGAAGAGGAAGAACCAUUACAUACAAUAUUAAGAAAGACAGUGUAUACAGGAAUUGCUCAUCACUGGAAAGAAGCUGUUUUUGCCACAUGUGGACUGCAAGUAGACAUUUGGGAUGAACAAAGAACAAGUACUAUCUGUUCAAUGACCUGGGGAUUCGACAGUAUAAGUAGUGUUAAAUUUAACCCAAUUGAGACAUUUCUCUUGGGAAGUUGUGCUUCUGACAGGAAUAUAGUACUAUAUGAUAUGAGGCAAGCUACUCCUCUGAAAAAGGUCAUCUUAGAUAUGAGAACAAAUACAAUUUGUUGGAACCCUAUGGAAGCUUUCGUUUUUACUGCAGCAAAUGAAGAUUACAACUUGUAUACGUUUGAUAUGCGUGCGCUGGACACUCCUGUAAUGGUACAUAUGGAUCACGUGUCUGCGGCGCUUGAUGUGGAUUAUUCUCCCACUGGGAAAGAGUUCAUGUCUGCUAGUUUUGAUAAAUCUAUUCGUAUCUUUCCUGUUCACAAAAGUAGAAGCAGGGAAGUCUAUCACACAAAGAGAAUGCAACAUGUUAUCUGUGUAAAAUGGAUUUCUGACAGCAAAUAUAUUAUGUGUGGAUCUGAUGAAAUGAACAUUCGUCUGUGGAAAGCUAAUGCUUCUGAAAAAUUGGGUGUGCUUACAUUUCGAGAAAAAGCAUCCAAAGAUUAUAACCAGAAGUUGAAGGAGAAAUUUCAACAUCAUCCUCAUAUAAAAUGCAUUGCUCGUCGCCGGCAUCUACCAAAAUCUAUCUACAGCCAGAUUCAGGAACAGCGGAUCAUGAAGGAAGCUCGCCGACGAAAGGAGGUGAAUCGUCUCAAACAUAGCAAGCCUGGAUCUGUGGCAAUUGUGUCAGAGAAGAAGAAACACGUAGUGGCAGUUGUGAAAUAAUACUUGGUAUUCCUACCAAUCUUGAUGUAUAAUUAUUUGUUUUAUUUUGAUGUGCAGACUGUGCAAAUAAAGUACUGGCUCUAGAAUCA